AUGCAAGUCGAACGAGGUCCAUCCAGUGGCAACACUGGUGAAGAUCUAGUGGCGAACGGGUGCGUAACACGUGAGGAACCUACCCCGAUCUCAGGAAUAACAGUGGGAAACCACUGCUAAUACCGGAUGCCUUCCCCGAGUCGCAUGGCUCGGCGAAGAAAGGGUUACCGGAUCGGGACGGCCUCGCGGCCUAUCAGCUUGUUGGCGGGGUAAUGGCCCACCAAGGCGUCGACGGGUAGCUGGUCUGAGAGGAUGAUCAGCCACACUGGGACUGAGACACGGCCCAGACUCCUACGGGAGGCAGCAGUGGGGAAUCUUGCGCAAUGGGCGAAAGCCUGACGCAGCAACGCCGCGUGGGGGAUGAAGGCCCUCGGGUUGUAAACCCCUUUCAGCAGGAACGAAUCUGACGGUACCUGCAGAAGAAGGCCCGGCCAACUACGUGCCAGCAGCCGCGGUAAUACGUAGGGGCCAAGCGUUGUCCGGAUUUAUUGGGCGUAAAGAGCUCGUAGGCGGUUGGGUAAGUCGGGUGUGAAAACUCCAGGCUCAACUUGGAGAGGCCACCCGAUACUGCUCUGACUUGAGUUCGGUAGGGGAGUGGG
rnacentral:rRNA from 1 species